rnacentral:rRNA from 1 species
AUUGAACGCUGGCGGCAUGCUUUACACAUGCAAGUCGAACGGUAACAGGCCGCAAGGUGCUGACGAGUGGCGAACGGGUGCGUAAUGCAUCGGAACGUGCCCAGUCGUGGGGGAUAACUACUCGAAAGAGUAGCUAAUACCGCAUACGAUCUAUGGAUGAAAGCGGGGGACCGUAAGGCCUCGCGCGAUUGGAGCGGCCGAUGUCAGAUUAGGUAGUUGGUGGGGUAAAGGCUCACCAAGCCAACGAUCUGUAGCUGGUCUGAGAGGACGACCAGCCACACUGGGACUGAGACACGGCCCAGACUCCUACGGGAGGCAGCAGUGGGGAAUUUUGGACAAUGGGCGCAAGCCUGAUCCAGCAAUGCCGCGUGCGGGAAGAAGGCCUUCGGGUUGUAAACUGCUUUUGUACGGAACGAAACGGCUCUGGUUAAUACCCGGGGCUAAUGACGGUACCGUAAGAAUAAGCACCGGCUAACUACGUG